AUGGUGUUGCAAUCGUCGAUGAAGUUCAAGUGUUGCCGCCGGUGGAUCCAGUUUCAGCGCCGGGUAAGAGAGAUUCGCGCCACCCCGGAUGCUCUGGAGUACAAGACGAAGCUCAGUUUGGAAGGGCUCCCAGAUCAGGCUUGGUCAACGCAGUCAGUGAAAAGUGUUCUGAAGGAUUUAGGCGGCGACCUGAUAGAGAUCAUACGACCAAAGAACAGGCGCAAGCUUGAGGUAAUCGCAUGGCUUCGUGACCCGUCGAAAGUGGGCAAGAUGCCGGACGUGGAGAUUGUCGAGCCUAAGCUUGCGCUCUGUACAGAUCCUCCUCCGCAAUCAGUUGAAGAGUUUGUGGCGAUGGAAAUGGUGUCGUCUUAUGGGCCGUCGUCGCCAAGGAGGAAGAAGACGCUGGUGUAUCCUGUCAUCUGUCACAUCAAGGAGGUGACUGAUCGUGGUCCUCUACUCGCCGAAGACCUGCCGGAUGCAUGGCUUCCAAAUGAAGGGGAAGACCUAACACGGACACACAAAUUCAACACUGUGCUUGGCAAAGUCGAUGGCAAUGAGGAUUGA
rnacentral:rRNA from 1 species